rnacentral:tRNA from 1 species
GGAGGGAGUAGCGAAGCCUGUUGACCAAACGCGGGUGGCUGUAACCCACUUCCUCACGGUUCGGGGGUUCAGAAUCCCUCCCCCUCCACCA